AAAACAAUCCUACGGGAGGCAGCAGUAGGGAAUAUUGGUCAAUGGGCGCAAGCCUGAACCAGCCAUGCCGCGUGCAGGAUGAAGGCUCUCUGAGUCGUAAACUGCUUUUGUACAGGAACAAAACAUUUCUCGUGAGGGAUCUUGAGUGUACUGUAAGAAUAAGCACCGGCUAAUUCCGUGCCAGCAGCCGCGGUAAUACGGAAGGUGCGAGCGUUAUCCGGUUUUAUUGGGUUUAAAGGGUGCGUAGGCGGCAUACUAAGUCAGUUGUGAAAUCCUAGUGCUUAACACUAGAACUGCGAUUGAUACUGGUAUGCUUGAGUCAAGAAGAGGUAAGUAGAAU
rnacentral:rRNA from 1 species